rnacentral:tRNA from 1 species
GCGGGUGUAGUGUAAUCAGGUAACAUACUACAUUUGGGAUGUAGAGUCGGGGUUCGAAUCCCACGCCUGCUACA